rnacentral:rRNA from 1 species
GACGAACGCUGGCGGCGUGCUUAACACAUGCAAGUCGAACGAUGAAGAAGAGCUUGCUCUUCGGAUUAGUGGCGAACGGGUGAGUAACACGUGACUAACCUGCCCCUUUCUCUGGGAUAACGCUCCGAAAGGAGUGCUAAUACCGGAUACUCACAUCGAGGCACAUGCCUUGAUGGGGAAAGUUUUUCGGAAAGGGAUGGAGUCGCGGCCUAUCAGCUUGUUGGUGAGGUAACGGCUCACCAAGGCGACGACGGGUAGCCGGCCUGAGAGGGCGACCGGCCACACUGGGACUGAGACACGGCCCAGACUCCUACGGGAGGCAGCAGUGGGGAAUAUUGCACAAUGGGCGAAAGCCUGAUGCAGCGACGCCGCGUGAGGGAUGAAGGUCUUCGGAUUGUAAACCUCUUUCAGUAGGGACGAAGCGAAAGUGACGGUACCUAGAGAAGAAGCACCGGCUAACUACGUGCCAGCCGCCGCGGUAA